rnacentral:rRNA from 1 species
UACGUAGGGGGCUAGCGUUGUCCGGAAUUAUUGGGCGUAAAGAGCGUGUAGGCGGUUCGAUAAGUUUGCUGUAAAAGUCAAGGGCUCAACCCUUGAAAGCCGGUGAAUACUGUCGGACUAGAGUACGGAAGAGGCGAGUGGAAUUCCACGUGUAGCGGUGAAAUGCGUAGAGAUGUGGAGGAACACCUGUGGCGAAAGCGGCGCACUGGACCAUAACUGACGCUGAUGCGCGAAAGCUAGGGGAGCAAACAGG